rnacentral:rRNA from 1 species
GACGAACGCUGGCGGCGUGCUUAACACAUGCAAGUCGAACGGAAAGGCCCUGCUUUUGUGGGGUGCUCGAGUGGCGAACGUGUGAGUAACACGUGAGUAACCUGCCCUUGACUUUGGUAUAACUUCAGUAAACUGGGGCUAAUACCGGAUAGGAGCUCCUGCUGCAUGGUUGGGGUUGGAAAGUUUCGGCGGUUGGGGAUGGACUCGCGGCUUAUCAGCUUGUUGGUGGGGUAGUGGCUUACCAAGGCUUUGACGGGUAGCCGGCCUGAGAGGGUGACCGGCCACAGUGUGACUGAGAUACGGCCCAGAAUCCUAAGGGAAGCAGAAGUGGGGAAUAUUGCAAAAUGGGCGGAAGACUGAUGCAGCAACGCCGCGUGCGGGAUAACGGCCUUAGGGUUGUAAACCGCUUACGCCUGUGACGAAGCGUGAGUGACGGUAAUGGGUAAAGAAGCACCGGCUAACUACGUG